GACAGCUCAGAGCCUGGAGCCUGUUUCAGAUUCUGUGUCUCCCCCCCUUCCCCGCUCAUGCUCUGUCUCUCCCUCUCUCUGUCAAAAAUAAAUAAACAUAAAAAAACAAAACAAAUUGCAGAAAGGAGGAGGUCAUAUGCCCAGACUUCCCCUCCCAAAACAGCUUUCCAGCUGAACACAACAAAGACAAAAAACCAAAGCAACCCUCCUCCCUCCCACAACAGUUUUUUACCUACUGUCAGAGGAGGCAUAAGCCAAGAUUUCCAAAGGCACUAGUGGCUGCUUCCCAGGUGUCCCAGAGUGGGGUUUUAUUUUAGCGUGAGAACAAAUUCCAUUUAUUGAGCGUCUACUUUGCCAGCCACGGUCCAAAUUUCUUUAUAUACACCUAAUUCAUUCUAACAAAAGCCAUUUAAGGUUUGUAUUAUAAUGAUCUUCAUAUCACAGAUGAAGGGACUGAUGCUCAGAAAGGUUAAGUACUUCUCUUUAGUUUUUUAAUUUUAUUUUUGAGAGAGACAGAGUGCAAGUGGGGGAGGGGCAGAGGGAGAGGGAGACAGAAUCCAAAGCAGGCUCCAGGCUCUGAGCUGUCAGCACAGAGCCCGACGCGGGGCUCGAACUCAUAGACUGUGAGAACAUGACCUGAGCUGAAGUCGGACACCCAACUAAUUGAGCACCCAGGCGCCCCAGUACUUCUGUGUUUAAACUGUGACUUCCUCAGGCAAAGAAGAUGCUUAAGAACAGUACUUGUCAGUGGGAAGUGGUAUCUGGAAGCAGGAAUGAGAAGCCUGGAACUGUGUGGAGAGGGGCGCCUGGCUGCCUCAGGCGGAAGAGCAUGUGACUCUUGAUCUUGGGGUUGUGACUUCAAGAUCCACGCUGGAUGUAGAGAUCAAAUAAAUAAAGCUUAAAAAAAAAAUGUGUGGAGAAUAGAAGAGGUAAGGUAAUAGCAAAUUACGAAAACUGCAUGUCCCAGCAAGAACUGCCAUUCAUCCCUACCACUCAGGCUCAGACUGGGUUAUGCUCUAGGGGUGUGUGUAAACACAUCUCUAUAGCAACCAUCUGGUUUCUGUCCUUCUAUGACAAUACAGGCUUGCAGUGUCUAAAUAUGGGCACUGGUGAGGAUGAGUGUGGCUGGGGAGGGGAAGUUGCCUGCUGAGUCAAAGGAAAAUUGUGCAGAAAAGGCAGAUUCCUUUGGUGUGCCCUCAUCUACCCCUCCCAGCCCACCCCCAAGGUAGGAAAGGGGCUUAAGACCCUGAUCUCUCUUCGGUUCACAGCAGUUGCAGUUAAGAGCUAAGCCCUGCAUACAUUUUGUCUUAUUUUAACCAGGUAUGUAAAUUCCUGUGCAGUCAGGGGGGGAUCCCCUUGGUUCAAAAGGGGGAGGGUAGAAACUUUUGCUUCCUAUUUCACCCCAGGUGUCACUUUCGGGGCCAUGGAGGUAGAAGCUGGAGGAUCCCAUCUGCUGAAGGCAUGGAUGCCUUGUCACAGGUGGAAUGCUCAACCUACCUACCUGGGAUCCUGGGAGACAGGCCUGAGGAGACUGUGCCCCAUAACCCUCUGGGGACUUUGGUCAAGACUGAUACCAAACAACUUUUAUUUUUUUUAAUUUAUUUUUUUGGGGACAGAGAGAGACAGAGCAUGAACGGGGGUGGGGCAGAGAGAGAGGGAGACACAGAAUUGGAAACAGGCUCCAGGCUCCGAGCCAUCAGCCCAGAGCCUGACGCGGGGCUCGAACUCACGGACCGCGAGAUCGUGACCUGGCUGAAGUCAGACGCUUAACUGACUGCGCCACCCAGGCGCCCCAAUACCAAACCACUUUUAAACCGGUUGAGAACCUUAAUGUGAAUUCAUUGCACAAGCGGUCCCAUCUCUGUAUGAUCUUUGGAUUCUGCCCCCAAUGCAGAACUCUCCCACUCACAAAACCUUCAUCCCGGGUCCCCUCAUUUCUCUGAGGUCUCACACAGAAACUCUUAAGAGGAAUUUCCCUCAACCCACUCAUUCAAAUUACACCCACGUUUCCCCUCAGACCCUGCUUUGUUUGCAGCCCUGGAGGGUUUUCCCCUCCUCCAGUAUCAGAAAGUGGGGAAACUGAGAUACUUCUAGCUCCCUAAUGUCAUUUUCAGGCCAUUAUUCUUCCAAGAUAUUUACAUGCCAUUCCUCCUGCUAUGGAGUUCAGGCUAAACUCUCCUUCAUGUUCUUGGCUACUCCUGGUCACUUCUAUACCAGGACUGUUAUGAGGCUUCCUCUUCUCCCCAAUCCUACAUAAUUCUGGGUUGAUUGCAACACCUUGAUUUACUGAUCCAACAUUCCAAGCCCAUAAUUCUCUGUUGUUGUUUUGUAAGCUAACUGCUUUAAUCUUCCUUUUAUAAAAAAGACAGUUGGGUUUAACAAGAGAUAACAACAAAACCACAAAUACUUGAGCUACCUACCUUUGCAGCUGGAUGUAGGAGCUCCCUUGUUCUUUGACUCUAAUGACCUUUACUUUUACCCCACUUUAGACACCCAUUCCUACUACCCAUUUCAUUACAUGGAAGAGUUCCAACUCCAAAAUCUUAACUCUAACAUCACUGUGACCACCAGGUCCUGAGCUUCCAACUUAAUCACUUCUUUCACUUCUAAAUCGUCAUCAGCUCUUUCACCUUAUCAAGACCUCUCUUGACCAGAGCUGAUCAUACCUUCUUUGGCCUACCUUUUCACCCAGUCUGAAUAGGGUGGAUAUCUUGAACUGUCCCUCCCCAGCACCUUCCACCCCCUUAUUCCCUUAUCAGUCCACUCAAUGUGUCCACAGACUAUGAUCCAGGAGCUACAUAAUAAUGCAUCUUAUCUGCUCUUGUACCCAGGCGGCUGGGUGUUGCUAGAGAAAACAGCAGAAAUAUAGAUUGGUACCAUUCCA